rnacentral:rRNA from 1 species
CCUACGGGUGGCAGCAGUGGGGAAUAUUGGACAAUGGGGGGAACCCUGAUCCAGCGACGCCGCGUGAGUGAAGAAGUAUUUCGGUAUGUUAAGCUCUAUCAGCAGGGAAGUAAAUGACGGUACCUGACUAAGAAGCCCUGGCUAACUACGUGCCAGCAGCCGCGGUAAUACGUAGGGGGCAAGCGUGAUCCUGAUUUACUGGGUGUAAAGGGAGCGUAGACGGUGUAGCAAGUCUGAUGUGAAAGGUCGGGGCGCAACCCCGGGACUGCAUUGGACACUGUUGAACUGGAGUACAGGAGAGGUAAGCUGAAUGCCUAGUGUAGCGGUGAAAUGAGUAGAUAUUAGGAGGAACACCAGUGGCGAAGGCGGCUUACUGGACUGUAACUGACGUGGAGGCUCGAAAGCGUGGGGAGCAAACAGGAUUAGAUACCCCGGUAGUC